UACGAAGGGGGCUAGCGUUGUUCGGAAUUACUGGGCGUAAAGCGCGCGCAGGCGGCUAUCCAAGUCAGGGGUGAAAUCCUGGAGCUCAACUCCAGAACUGCCUUUGAUACUGGCAACCUUGAGUCCGGGAGAGGUGAGUGGAACUGCGAGUGUAGAGGUGAAAUUCGUAGAUAUUCGCAAGAACACCAGUGGCGAAGGCGGCUCACUGGCCCGGUACUGACGCUGAGGUGCGAAAGCGUGGGGAGCAAACAGG
rnacentral:rRNA from 1 species